rnacentral:rRNA from 1 species
UACGUAGGGGGCAAGCGUUGUCCGGAUUUAUUGGGCGUAAAGAGCGUGUAGGCGGCUAGAUAGGUCCGUCGUGAAAACUCGAGGCUCAACCUCGAGACGUCGAUGGAAACCAUCUGGCUAGAGUCCGGAAGAGGAGAGUGGAAUUCCUGGUGUAGCGGUGAAAUGCGCAGAUAUCAGGAAGAACACCCGUGGCGAAAGCGGCUCUCUGGAACGGUACUGACGCUGAGACGCGAAAGCGUGGGGAGCGAACAGG